CUUCGCAGGUGCGUACGCUGACGUCGCUGCUGGAGCAACUGGAACACUCCCAGGAGAGGCCAGCCACGGAAGGCACUUUCUGAAACGUAGAUUUGAAGUCUGCCAGCUGUCAACACCCCCAGAGUGUUUUCUUCCUGUUCUGAGAAUCAAGGCUCACUUCCUUAUAGUUUUAUUAGGAAUUGUGGCCCACUGAGA